AACUCUUAGCGGUGGAUCACUCGACUUGUGCGUGGAUGAAGAACGCAGCUAGCUGCGAGAACUAAUGUGAAUUGCAGGACACAUUGAUCAUCGACACUUCGAACGCACUGUCUAAGGGUCG
rnacentral:rRNA from 1 species